rnacentral:rRNA from 1 species
UACGGGGGGGGCAAGCGUUGUUCGGAAUUACUGGGCGUAAAGGGCUCGUAGGCGGCCAACUAAGUCAUACGUGAAAUCCCUCGGCUUAACCGGGGAACUGCGUCUGAUACUGGAUGGCUUGAGUUCGGGAGAGGGAUGCGGAAUUCCAGGUGUAGCGGUGAAAUGCGUAGAUAUCUGGAGGAACACCGGUGGCGAAGGCGGCACCCUGGACCGAUACUGACGCUGAGGAGCGAAAGCCUGGGGAGCAAACGGG